CCCCGAAAAUGGAUGGCGC
rnacentral:snRNA from 1 species